rnacentral:rRNA from 1 species
ACGGAAGGCAGCAGCUAGGAAUAUUCCGCAAUGGACGAAAGCCUGACCCAGCAACGCCGCGUGAAGGAAGAAGGUCUUCGGAUUGUAAACUUCUUUUAUGAGGGACGAAGGACGUGACGGUACCUCAUGAAUAAGCCACGGCUAACUACGUGCCAGCAGCCGCGGUAAUACGUAGGUGGCAAGCGUUAUCCGGAUUUACUGGGUGUAAAGGGCGCGUAGGCGGGGAUGCAAGUCAGGUGUGAAAACUAUGGGCUUAACCCAUAAACUGCAUUUGAAACUGUAUCUCUUGAGUGCUGGAGAGGUAGAUGGAAUUCCUUGUGUAGCGGUGAAAUGCGUAGAUAUAAGGAAGAACACCAGUGGCGAAGGCGAUCUACUGGACAGUAACUGACGCUGAGGCGCGAAAGCGUGGGGAGCAAACAGGAUUAGAUACCCUGGUA